AACGAACGCUGGCGGCAUGCCUAACACAUGCAAGUCGAACGAGACCUUCGGGUCUAGUGGCGCACGGGUGCGUAACGCGUGGGAACCUGCCCUUAGGUUCGGAAUAACUCCCCGAAAGGGGUGCUAAUACCGGAUUAUGUCUUCGGACCAAAGAUUUAUCGCCUUUGGAUGGGCCCGCGUUGGAUUAGCUAGUUGGUAGGGUAAAAGCCUACCAAGGCGACGAUCCAUAGCUGGUCUGAGAGGAUGAUCAGCCACACUGGGACUGAGACACGGCCCAGACUCCUACGGGAGGCAGCAGUGGGGAAUAUUGGACAAUGGGCGAAAGCCUGAUCCAGCAAUGCCGCGUGAGUGAUGAAGGCCUUAGGGUUGUAAAGCUCUUUUACCCGGGAUGAUAAUGACAGUACCGGGAGAAUAAGCUCCGGCUAACUCCGUG
rnacentral:rRNA from 1 species